rnacentral:rRNA from 1 species
CCUACGGGAGGCAGCAGUAAGGAAUAUUGGUCAAUGGACGCAAGUCUGAACCAGCCAUGCCGCGUGAAGGAUGAAGGCCCUCUGGGUUGUAAACUUCUUUUAUAGGGGACGAAAAAAGGGAAUUCUUUCUCACUUGACGGUACCCUAGGAAUAAGCACCGGCUAACUCCGUGCCAGCAGCCGCGGUAAUACGGAGGGUGCAAGCGUUAUCCGGAUUUACUGGGUUUAAAGGGUGCGUAGGUGGGUAAGUAAGUCAGCGGUGAAAUCUACGAGCUUAACUCGUAAAUUGCCUUUGAUACUAUUUAUCUUGAAUUAUCUGGAGGUAAGCGGAAUAUGUCAUGUAGCGGUGAAAUGCUUAGAUAUGACAUAGAACACCAAUUGCGAAGGCAGCUUGCUACGGAUAUAUUGACACUGGGGCACGAAAGCGUGGGGAUCAAACAGGAUUAGAUACCCUGGUAGUCCACGCCCUAAACGAUGGAUACUCGACAUCAGCGAUACACUGUUGGUGUCUGAGCGAAAGCAUUAAGUAUCCCACCUGGGAAGUACGAUCGCAAGAUUGGAACUCAAAUGAAAUUGACGG